rnacentral:rRNA from 1 species
UACGGGGGGGGCGAGCGUUGUUCGGAAUUAUUGGGCGUAAAGGGCUCGUAGGCGGCCUGCUAAGUCGAACGUGAAAUCCCUCGGCUCAACCGGGGAACUGCGUUCGAGACUGGCGGGCUCGAAUCCGGGAGAGGGAUGUGGAAUUCCAGGUGUAGCGGUGAAAUGCGUAGAUAUCUGGAGGAACACCGGUGGCGAAGGCGGCAUCCUGGACCGGUAUUGACGCUGAGGAGCGAAAGCCAGGGGAGCAAACGGG